AGCAGCCGCGGUAAUUCCAGCUCCAAUAGCGUAUAUUAAAGUUGUUGCAGUUAAAAAGCUCGUAGUUGAAUUUCGGGAUCAGCAGGUCGGUCGUGCCAAUGGUAUGCACUGGCCUUGCUGAUUCCUCCCUCUUGAUGAGCCGUAAUGCCAUUAAUUUGGUGUUGCGGGGAAUCAGGACUGUUACUUUGAAAAAAUUAGAGUGUUUAAAGCAGGCAAGCGCUUGAAUACAUUAGCAUGGAAUAAUGAAAUAGGACGUUCGAUCCUAUUUUGUUGGUUUCUAGGAUUGACGUAAUGAUUAAUAGGGAUAGUUGGGGGCAUUAGUAUUCAAUUGUCAGAGGUGAAAUUCUUGGAUUUAUUGAAGACUAACUACUGCGAAAGCAUUUGCCAAGGAUGUUUUCAUUAAUCAAGAACGAAAGUUAGGGGAUCGAAGACGAUCAGAUACCGUCGUAGUCUUAACCAUAAACUAUGCCGACUAGGGAUCGGAUGAUGUUAAUUUUUUAAUGACUCA
rnacentral:rRNA from 1 species